UACGGAGGGGGCUAGCGUUGUUCGGAAUUACUGGGCGUAAAGCGCGCGUAGGCGGACCUGCAAGUCGGGGGUGAAAGCCCGAGGCUCAACCUCGGAACUGCCUUCGAUACUGCGGGUCUCGAGUCCGGGAGAGGUGAGUGGAAUUCCUAGUGUAGAGGUGAAAUUCGUAGAUAUUAGGAAGAACACCAGUGGCGAAGGCGGCUCACUGGCCCGGUACUGACGCUGAGGCGCGAAAGGCGUGGGAGUAAACAGG
rnacentral:rRNA from 1 species